rnacentral:lncRNA from 1 species
UGAUCUUGUAAGUUAUACUAGUAAUAUAUUAUUUUUAAUAAUUAUAAAAAUAAUUAUUUAAAUCAAUAUAAUUUUUUAUUUUAUGGUAUAGAUAAAAUAUAAAUAUUUUAAUAAAGAAGAAGGUGCGAUCGAUGAGUUAUACGAUUUAGCAUGUGGUCCCGAUCGAAGGGUUAACCAUUAUGCAUCCUGUAUCAUUGGAGGAAUAAGAUUUCAUACAAAAGAGCUUGAGAUGCAACGACGGAUCCAGAAUAGUGAGAUUGGUACGAUAGGAUAUGAAAGAAAAGAAGAGAUUGAAUAUUAUAGU